rnacentral:rRNA from 1 species
GACGUAGGGCGCGAGCGUUGUCCGAAUUUAUUGGGCGUAAAGAGCUCGUAGGCGGCUUGUCGCGUCGACUGUGAAAUCCCGCGGCUCAACUGCGGGUCUGCAGUCGAUACGGGCAGGCUAGAGUUCGGUAGGGGAGACUGGAAUUCCUGGUGUAGCGGUGAAAUGCGCAGAUAUCAGGAGGAACACCGGUGGCGAAGGCGGGUCUCUGGGCCGAUACUGACGCUGAGGAGCGAAAGCGUGGGGAGCGAACAGG